AGGGCGCAGGGCGAAUGCCUUGGCACUGGGAGCCGAUGAAAGACGUGAUAAGCUGCGAUAAGCUUCGGGGAGCUGCAAAUAAGCAUUGAUCCGGAGAUUUCUGAAUGAGGAAACUCACCUGGGUUCAUACUCAGGUACGUUAUACUGAACUUCAAAAUAGGUAUAUCGAGGGAACCGCCUGAACUGAAACAUCUAAGUAGGGCGAGGAAGAGACAUCAAACGAGAUUCCGUAAGUAGUGGCGAGCGAACGCGGAAGAGGGCAAACCGAGAGUAGAAAUACUUUCGGGGUACGGACUGCUUUUAGGACUUAAUCUGUUAACCGAACGGCAUGGGAAGGCCGGUCAGAGAGUGUGAGAACCACGUAGGUGAAAACGGAGAGAGCUGCGCAGGAUCCAGAGUACGGCCAGACACGUGAAACCUGGUCGGAAUACGGGGGGACCACCCUCCAACCCUAAAUACUACCCAGUGACCGAUAGCGUAUAGUACUGUGAAGGAAAGGUGAAAAGCACCCCGGGAGGGGAGUGAAAAAGAACCUGAAACCCUGUGCCUACAAGCACCUAGAGCGCGUCAAAGCGUGAUAGGGUACUUUUUGUAGAACGGUCCGGCGAGCGAUUGUAUGCAGCAAGGUUAAGGACUUAAGGUCUGGAGCCGAAGCGAAAGCGAGUUUGAAAAGGGCGUUAAGUUGCAUAUAAUGGGCCCGAAACCGGGUGACCUACCCAUGGUCAGGUUGAAGUGGAAGUAAAAUUCCAUGGAGGACCGAACCGACCUCCGUUGAAAAGGCGGCGGAUGAACUGUGGGUAGCGGAGAAAUUCCAAUCGAACCCGGAGAUAGCUGGUUCUCCCCGAAAUAGUUUUAGGACUAGCCUCAAGUUAGAUACCUGGAGGUAAAGCACUGAAUAGCCUAGCGGCCGAGAGGUUAGCGAAGCUUAUCAAACUCAGAAUGCCAGAGUAUUGAUGCUUGGGAGUCAGACAGUGUCAGAUAAAUGUCAUUGUCAAAAGGGAAACAGCCCAGAUCUACAGCUAAGGUCCCAAAGUCAGGUUAAGUGGAAAACGAUGUGAAGAUACGUAGACAACCAGGAUGUUGGCUCAGAAGCAGCCACUCAUUCAAAGAGUGCGUAAUAGCUCACUGGUCGAGCGUCUUUGCGCGGAGAAUUUAACGGGGCUAAACCUGACACCGAAGCUUAGGCAGCAUGUUUACAUGCUGGGUAGGGGAGCGUUGUAUACGCGGUGAAACAGUAGCGCAAGCGGCUGUGGAGUGUAUAGAAGUGAGAAUGCCGGAAUGAGUAGCGCGAAUGCAGUGAGAAUCUGCAUGGCCGAAAGCCUCAGGUUUCUGGAGGAAGGUUCGUCCGCUCCAGGUUAGUCGGGAGCUAAGGUGAGGCCUAACGGCGUAGCCGAUGCACAGACGGUAGAGAUUCCGUCACCACCAAAAGAGUUAAACACAGGGACACAUAUGAAGUCUCGGAGCCGGGUGUUGGUUCCGGUAGCGAUCGAGGGAAGUUAGUACCGAAGUCCGGGAUGGAAGAUGGCGAGAAAAGCUGUGUGUAUUUCUGCGGUGCCCGUACCGCAAACCGACACAGGUAGGUAGGAAGAAGAUUCUAAGGCCAACGGGAGAAGGGUUGUUAAGGAACUCGGCAAAUUGACCCCGUAACUUCGGGAGAAGGGGUGCUGCAGCAAUGCAGCCGCAGAGAAUCGGCCCAAGCAACUGUUUACCAAAAACACAGGUUUGUGCUAAAUCGAAAGAUGACGUAUACGAGCUGACGCCUGCCCGGUGCUGGAAGGUUAAGAGGAGAUGUGCAAGCAUUGAAUCGAAGCCCCAGUGAACGGCGGCCGUAACUAUAACGGUCCUAAGGUAGCGAAAUUCCUUGUCAGGUAAGUUCUGACCCGCAUGAAAGGCGUAAUGAUUUGGGCACUGUCUCAACAGCCCGCCCGGCGAAAUUGUAGUACCGGUGAAGAUGCCGGUUACCCGCGACAAGACGGAAAGACCCCAUGGAGCUUUACUGUAGCCUAAUAUUGGGUUUCGAUGUUGCAUGCACAGGAUAGAUGGGACACUGGGAAGCAGGUGCUUUGGCGCUUGUGGAGUGGCCGUUGGGAUACCAUCCUUGCGAUAUUGGAAUUCUAACCUGCGCCUUUGAAUCAAGGCGGGGGACAUUGUUAGGUGGGCAGUUUGACUGGGGCGGUCGCCUCCUAAAGAGUAACGGAGGCGUUCAAAGGUUCGCUCAGCUUGAACGGAAAUCAAGCAAAAGAGUGCAAACGCAGAAGCGAGCCUAACUGCGAGACUGACGGGUCGAGCAGUAACGAAAGUUGGAGUUAGUGAUCCGGUGGUAUGUGAGUGGAAAUGCCAUCGCUCAACGGAUAAAAGUUACCCUGGGGAUAACAGGCUGAUCUCCCCCAAGAGUCCACAUCGACGGGGAGGUUUGGCACCUCGAUGUCGGCUCAUC
rnacentral:rRNA from 1 species